UUAAGCGAAUAAGCGUACACGGUGGAUGCCUAGGCAAUCAGAGGCGAUGAAGGACGUGCUAAUCUGCGAAAAGCGUCGGUAAGGUGAUAUGAACCGUUAUACCCGACGAUAUCCGAAUGGGGAAACCCAGUAUCCAAUGGAUACUAUCAUUAACUGAAUCCAUAGGUUAAUGAGGCGAACCGGGAGAACUGAAACAUCUCAGUACCCCGAGGAAAAGAAAUCAACCGAGAUUCCCCUAGUAGCGGCGAGCGAACGGGGAGCAGCCCAGAGUCUUAAUCAAUAGCAGUGUCAGGAGAACGGUCUGGAAAGUCCGGCAGUAAAGGGUGAUAGCCCCGUAUCUGAAGAUGCUGUUAUUGUGAACUCGACGAGUAGGGCGGGACACGUGUUAUCCUGUCUGAAUAUGGGGGGACCAUCCUCCAAGGCUAAAUACUCCUGAUUGACCGAUAGUGAACCAGUACCGUGAGGGAAAGGCGAAAAGAACCCCGGCGAGGGGAGUGAAAAAGAACCUGAAACCGUGUACGUACAAGCAGU
rnacentral:rRNA from 1 species